AGGAUCAUUAAUGAACGUUCAGGUGGCGGUCGACCUCCCGUCGGCCGUCGAAAUUCACACCCGUGUGCACCUUGGGAGCCCCUGGCUCUUGCAAAAAAAAUGCCUGUCAAUGAAGCAUGUUCGAGUGCUCUACGGAGAGCCGUAUACAUAUACAACUUUCAACAACGGAUCUCUUGGCUUUCGCAUCGAUGAAGAACGCAGCGAAAGUGCGAAACGUAAUGUGAAUUGCAGAAUUCAGUGAAUCAUCGAAUCUUUGAACGCAUCUUGCGCUCUUCGGUAUUCCGAGGAGCAUGCCUGUUUGAGUGUCGUGACAAUCCCUCGACUCUCCCCUCGUCCGUUCCCCUUCUGGGGGGGCUCGCGUUCGGAGGGUCGGAUUUUGGACGUUGCCGUCCUUUGUGAAGGCUCGUCUCGAAAUGCAUUAGCCUCGUUCCGGCCUCGGUUCCUUCCACAGACGAUAUGGCGUGAUAAUGAAAAAACUCGCUGGCGUCGGUCGGGCCUUGGAUAGAGAGGGGGCUCACAGUCGUCUCCGGACAAAUUCCCUCGAUCUGACCUCAAAUCAGGUAGGACUACCCGCUGAACUUAAGCAUAUCAAUAAGCGGAGGAAAGGAAACUAACAAGGAUUCCCCUAGUAACGGCGAGUGAAGCGGGAAGAGCUCAAAUUUGUAAUCUGGCGGUCUCUGGCCGUCCGAGUUGUAGUCUGGAGAAGCGUUUUCCGUGCCGGACCGUGUACAAGUCCCUUGGAACAGGGCGUCGUAGAGGGUGAGAAUCCCGUCUCUGACACGGACUGCCGGUGCUCUGUGAUGCGCUCUCGAAGAGUCGAGUUGUUUGGGAAUGCAGCUCAAAAUGGGUGGUAAAUUCCAUCUAAAGCUAAAUAUUGGCGAAAGACCGAUAGCGAACAAGUACCGUGAGGGAAAGAUGAAAAGCACUUUGGAAAGAGAGUUAAACAGUACGUGAAAUUGUUGAAAGGGAACCGCUUGAAGUCAGUCACGUCCAUCGAGGUUCAGCCGUGGGGUCUCCCCCGGCGUAUUUCUCGGCUGGACGGGCCAGCAUCGAUUUCGACCGUUCGAGAAAGGCUCGGGGAACGUGGCACCCUUCCGGGUGUGUUAUAGCCCUCUGUCGUAUGGGACGGUCGGGAUCGAGGACCGCAGCGUGCCCCCUCU
rnacentral:rRNA from 1 species